CAUUUAAAGAAAGCGUAAUAGCUAACUGGUCAGGUCGGUCCGCGCGGAAGAUGUAACGGUGCUAAACCAUGCACCGAAGCUGCGGCAGCGACACAAAGUGUUGUUGGGUAGGGGAGCGUUCUGUAAGCCUGCGAAGGUGUACUGUGAGGUAUGCUGGAGGUAUCAGAAGUGCGAAUGCUGACAUAAGUAACGAUAAUGCGGGUGAAAAACCCGCACGCCGGAAGACCAAGGGUUCCUGUCCAACGUUAAUCGGGGCAGGGUGAGUCGACCCCUAAGGCGAGGCUGAAAAGCGUAGUCGAUGGGAAACGGGUUAAUAUUCCCGUACUGGUGGUAACUGCGAUGGGGGAACGGAGAAGGCUAGGUUGUCCGGGCGACGGUCGUCCCGGUUCAAGCAGGUAGGCAGAGUGAUUAGGCAAAUCCGGUCACUUAAUGCUGAGAUGUGAUGACGAACCACCAAGGUGGUGAAGCAAUUGAUGCCCCGCUUCCAGGAAAAGCCUCUAAGCUUCAGGUUACCAACAAUCGUACCCCAAACCGACACAGGUGGUCAGGUAGAGAAUACUCAGGCGCUUGAGAGAACUCGGGUGAAGGAACUAGGCAAAAUGGUGCCGUAACUUCGGGAGAAGGCACGCUGGCGGUAGGUAAAGUCCCUCGCGGACGGCGCCCAAGCCAGUCGAAGAUACCAGCUGGCUGCAACUGUUUAUUAAAAACACAGCAC
rnacentral:rRNA from 1 species